AUUGAACGCUGGCGGCAGGCCUAACACAUGCAAGUCGAGCGGAUGAAGGGAGCUUGCUCCUGGAUUCAGCGGCGGACGGGUGAGUAAUGCCUAGGAAUCUGCCUGGUAGUGGGGGAUAACGUCCGGAAACGGGCGCUAAUACCGCAUACGUCCUGAGGGAGAAAGUGGGGGAUCUUCGGACCUCACGCUAUCAGAUGAGCCUAGGUCGGAUUAGCUAGUUGGUGGGGUAAAGGCCUACCAAGGCGACGAUCCGUAACUGGUCUGAGAGGGUGAUCGGUCAAACUGGAACAGAGGCACGGUCCAGACUCCUACGGGAGGCAGCAGUGGGGAAUAUUAGACAAUGGGCGAAAGCCUGAUCCAGCCAUGCCGCGUGUGUGAAGAAGGUCUUCGGAUUGUAAAGCACUUUAAGUUGGGAGGAAGGACAGUAAGUUAAUACCUUGCUGUUUUGACGUUACCAACAGAAUAAGCACCGGCUAACUUCGUG
rnacentral:rRNA from 1 species